rnacentral:misc_RNA from 1 species
GAUGAAGAAGUAGCGAAAUGCGAUAAGUAAUGUGAAUUGCAGAAUUCAGUGAAUCAUCGAAUCUUUGAACGCAUCUUGCGCUCCUUGGUAUUCUGAGGAGCAUGCCUGUUUGAGUGUCAUUAAAUUCUCAACUACACUGACUUUGAAUUGGUGUGGCUUGGAUUUGGGGGGAAAAUUGUUGUGGGCUUUUUGUAUAGUCUGCUCCCCUGAAAUUGAUUAGCGGUACCUUUGUGGAACUGUCUACAGGUGUGAUAAUUAUCUACAUCUUAGACAUCUGCUGGAAUGCUGCUUUCUAAACCUUACUUGUAUUGACAAUCUUGACCUCAAAUCAGGUAGGACUACCCGCUGAACUUAAGCAUAUCAAUAAGCGGGGA